GUAAGUGAAAACAUGGUACCAAAUGUGGAUACUGCUGACACAAUGCAGUCCGCAGAUCACAUUACUUCUACUGCACAGACUGGGCAGGUAUUUGAACUAGAUGGACAGCAGCACAGCUGUAAUGUGCAACAGUUAAGAGCUCAAAAAAAUGCUUCUGUUACAAAAGUUACAUCUGCAAAAGAUCUUCCAGGGCCAAAGGGGGAUACAAAUGACUCUGCCAUUGAUGUAAAUGAAAAGAUAGUAUCCAUUCACAAUCCUACAGAUACUUCUACUAUGCCAGAAAAUGACAAUGCAAAUCCACUAAAGAGAAGAUGAUCGAGCAGCAGAGAUAAGUUCUAAUGAAUUUGUAUCUCAACGAGGGUUGGAUUUACAAGCUACUCAACAAACUUUCGAAACUGCUCAUCAUUCUACCAAUAACUGCUCAUCGAAGUCCAACAGAAAAUCAACUCCAAAAUCCAAAAACAAAAUGCACCGUGCAGAUAUGAGGCCAGCUACUCAUGGAAGUUGCACUGGACAGAACCUGCACAUGGCCAACAAUCAGAUUUCUCCACCCAUUAAAUUGAAGGAAAACAAUGUAUUGUCUGGGCAGAGAAAUGUUACAAAAUUGGAGGCUUCUGAUACUUUGAAAUCUUCUACAGAACCAAUUGUUGUAGCAGUUGAAACACAGGAGAAGUCAACACAGGCAGUUGUUGCAGCUCCUAGCUGUCCUGAUGAUCGAGAUGUAACUGGAUGUGAUCACAGGAAUACUGUGAAUGAAUCCCUCAAAGAACAUCAAAGCCUCAUAUGUUUCAAACACAACACAGUGUGACGUGCAGUUCCUAGAUGUCCUGCGGAUCAAGAUGUAACUCGAUGUAAUUACCAGGAUAAUGUGAUUGAAAUGCUUCAAAGAACACCAAAGCCUCAUAUGGUUCAAACACAACACAGUGUGACUACUACUAAAGGUAUAGCCACAUUUGGUGCAGUUCCUAGAUGUCCUGCGGAUCAAGAUGUAACUCGAUGUAAUUACCAGGAUAAUGUGAUUGAAAUGCUUCAAAGAACACCAAAGCCUCAUAUGGUUCAAACACAACACAGUAUGACUACUACUAAAGGUAUAGCUGCUGUCAAUGUCUCUAAUGAUGUCUUAAUUAACUCAAAGAUGUGGAAAGAUCAACGACAGUUUUGCGUAAAUUUGAAAAGAGAGCAGGAAAAUACGCUUAUACAUUGCUUUCAUUUCGAAAAUCAGCGAGUGGAAAGAGUAAUCAAGGAUGCAAUUCAAAUUUCAUCUCUUGAAAACACUCUAACUGGAAAAUUAAAGACCAAGUGGGAGGCUCCAGAUUUCAUUCCAAGUAAGCCUCCUUGUUGCACAUGAAUUCACUUCCUAGAUACACCACCAAACACUGUGGAUGGCUACAUUGGAACGAGUAAGUCAGGUGCUAUCUUGAUGAAAUAUGCAACAUGGUCCGACAAGAAACCAAAUGUUAGGCAAAUUCCAAUGAGAGUGGCCAAACAAAAGCAGGCUACUACAGUUUCGUCAUCAAAGUCCAAUCGUUCAAAAUAUAAAAGAUGAUUCUUGAAUACUUUUUGAACAAGUUAGAGGAGAAUGAAAUAGAAAUACAACUUGAAGUUUACACAAGAUUGGAAAAUAAGGGACAACAAUCAACUGGGUACUACAUAUUAUUCUACCACUUUUUUAGCAUCCUCAAUUGUAAUCUCAUCACAGAGUAUGUUAUAAACUCUGUGAUGAUCAAAAAAUAUUUAGUCGUGUCAAGUUCUUAUUUUAUGCAUUCUGGUUUAUAAGUAAGGUUGCCAUGCGUCAUUAGGAUUAGUACGGUAAGGUUAGCCCACGUCAUCGAAGUCCAGCCGUUCAAAAAAUAAAAGAUAAUUUUUGAAUUCUUUUUGAACAAGUUAGAGGAGAACGAAAUAGAAAUUCAACUUGAUGGUUAUACAAGAUUGGAUAACAAGGGACAACAAUCAACUGGGUACUACAUAUUAUUCUACCACUUUAUUAGUAUCCUCAUUUGUAAUCUCAUCACAGAGUAUGUCAUAAACUCUGUGAUGAUCACAAAAUAUUUAGUCAUGUCAAGUUCUUAUUUUAUGCAUUCUGGUUAAUAAGUAAGGUUGCUUAACAAGGGACAACAAUCAACUAGGUACUACAUAUUAUUCUACCACUUUAUUAGUAUCCUCAUUUAUAAUCUCAUCACAGAGUAUGUUAUAAACUCUGUAAUGAUCAUAAAAUAUUUAGUCGUGUCAAGUUCUUAUUUUAUGCACUCGUGUUUAUAAGUAAGGUUCCCAAGCCUCAAUGGGAUUAUCACGGUAAGGUUAGCCCGGUUUGUGUUAACAAUACCGGUGCUAAUGUCCCCCUUAUUUGUACUUUUUCUAAUUGAUUGUAAUUUUCUUUUCAGUUAUUAAUAAAAACCUAACCCUAGGCGCUUGCCUAGUGGAUUGCAAAAAAAAAACAUGUUUUCUAGAUAAUACAGAAGUGAAAAAACUUAUAAGCAUGGUUUCUAUACGAAAAUGAAGAACUUAUGGACAUGGUCUCUAUAUGAAAUAUGUAACCUAUAAACGUGAUCUCUAUAUGAAAAAUGCAGAAGUGGAAGUAGGACAUGAUGGAUGAAACAUAUUAAAUUCCUAUGAACAUGAUAUCUACCCCUUUUAUGCAUGAUGUACCCUCCCCUUUUCACUAAAAAUCCUAAUAGUUAUUACAACCCAGAAUUGAAUAAGAAAAAGAAGUAAAAUUACAUUAAAAACUAAAAAUUUCCAACCAAGGAGAGCUUGAUUCAGUGUUCUGUCUAAAGCAUGAAGUAAACCAAGUCCAAAGUCGAAUUUUUCAAAGCCUUUCUCAUUUUUGGGUGUGUCUGAAUUACCAAAAGCC
rnacentral:lncRNA from 1 species